AUGGUAUGUAAUUUGUGCUUUGUUUUCGAACAUCAUUCUAGUGAUGGAGCCAGGGAAGGUGAAAAUAAUGCAGACUUUGGAGUCAGUCAUCCUUGGAUUGUAUGUUGGGGAGGAAGGUUUUCUCAAAAUCUAUAUGCAAAGUUUUGGAAUUUGGAGGCUCCAGGGGACUCAGAGAACUUGCAACAGUAACAAACUUGCCACCAUCUGGAGAGAAUUAGCUAGCCUUCCUUAGGCUUCAAAAUGUUCUUAAAUAAACUUCUGAUGCGUAAA
rnacentral:lncRNA from 1 species